CUCUCUUCUUCUUCAAUAUCCCUGAAACCCUAAAUAUAUAUGUAUGGAUACGCACACCACAAAAAUAUAUAUUGAAAAGAUUUAAGAAGAAAACGAGGAUGAUGUUGGGCAUGGCUUCAGCGAUCUUCAAUCAACCUUACCUUUCAUCAUCAUCAUUAACACUACCCAAAAUUGCUAGAAAACCCCUCAUUACAGUGUGAUGACCACCGGUUGCUUUCUUGUCUCUCUCUCUCAUCCACCACAAUAAUCACCACCGGGCACCACCACUGCCACCGCCAUUCACCACCACAACCACCGCAACUGCCGGCCGACUCAAGUAUGCACUAGAAGACGACGGUAUCAACUGGAGACAAUGAAUGAGAAUGAAAAUGAUUCAUCAAAAAAGAUGAAACAGAACCAGGUACACUAGACUGGUUUGUUAAGAAAACAAACAGAGAAGAUACUUCAUCCUCAUCACCAAUUGUUUCUUCAAGUCACUCUAAGAAUGAUCCUAACAAAGAAACUGAGAUGCGAGAAUGGAGUAAUACAGAUGCUUUGCAAUCUUGCGAAAACGAAAGCCCAUUUGCUUGCAGAUUUCAUUCACAAUGUGAUCAGUUGUUUGCGUUGAUCGGUUGCUGUAGUGUAAAAAAGCAUCGACAUCCACUUGUUGCUCCCCUUCUUUGUGUGAGGUUUCUAUGAGUUACUGUGUAUGUUAAUUUUCUUUUACUUUAUUUGUAUGAAUUUAUUGAAACUUGUAAGUUAGGGUUUG